AUGGAUUUACCUGGACCAAUAGAUGAGAUUCUUAUGCUAUUUGGGGGAUUUGUUCUUCUACUAGGGGGUUUACGAGUAGUAUUACUUACCGACCCCAGUUGUUCUGCCUUUUCCUUGGCACUAGUUCUUGUUUAUAUAUCUAUAUUCCAUUUUUUAUUUAAUUCCUACUUUGUAGCCGGCGCACAACUUCUUAUUUAUGUGGGAGCCAUAAAUGUCGUAAUCAUAUUCGUUGUAAUGUUCAAUCGCUCAGGAUGGUCUAAAGAUAAGAAUCGUUGGAGUAUUAGAGAUGGGUUCACUUCACUCGUUUGUAUAACUAUUGUUCUUUCACUAAUGACUAUUAUCCCAGAUACAUCAUGGUAG
rnacentral:rRNA from 1 species